GGGGUUGUAGCUUGGUGGUAGAGCGCUUGCCUCAAACGCGUGAGGCCCUGGGUUCCAUCCUCAGCACCA
rnacentral:tRNA from 1 species